GGACUACGUCAGCUGAUAGUACACAGCUGUAAGGGUAGUCGACCUGUGGAAAGGAUUUAUUUUAGAAAUGAAGAAGUCCAUAAAGAUGACUCUCUAAGAUUGAUUUCAGGGUACUGGCAAGAGGACAAAGGUGACGAAGAAGCUCAAAAUAGAGAAAUGAGGUGAGCCUGCAAGGCAGAAAUCGCAUUCUGUAUGUUGAAUAACCAACAUUUAUUUUUUAUCAGAAAAAGUCAGCUGUCACUGAGAAGUGAUUUGAUCUUUUAUUUGAUCUUUUAUCUAAAAUUUUGCAGCAAUAUACAGUAGGUUGUGAUCUGUAUGGGCUUUCCUGUUUGUACAUGGAGAUUUAAAGAAGCUCCACUAGAUGUCACUAAAUGUGUAUAGAGAUGCUGUUCAUUUCCUCAAACCCUGCCCCACAGAGCCACUGAACAGACACACUAUUGUACAAAAGGAAAGAGAUUUUAUUCACAGUUUGUCCCUUUUAUUCAUUACAGAGGAAAGGUGAGCAAGAAGUCCAGUCACUGGAUUCAAGACAGCUUAUGGAAAAAAAGGUGAUUUACUCGGUGCAGGAAGGAGUGGAGGGAAAGUAAUCGAAGAUGUGAAUGUUUUCUUUCGGCCCUUUCUCUCCUCUCCUUCAGCCCUUUUUGUUUUCACUUGUCAAGGAAAAAGAAAGUUGUCAUCACUUUAAGGAAGCAACUUUUUCCUCUCUAACCUGCAAAUGCUCUCCCUCCUCUCACCUCUUCUACCCAGGAGGACAUCUUCAAAAUUUGGAAUGAGGUCCUCAUGUUUGGUGCACCUCUCCAAAGAGUAAACCUGCUUUUCUCUCAGAUACUAAGUGAAGAAGGGCAUGCUGCAUUCAUGUGAACACUUCAGAGGCUGAAGUGACAGGGCUGACAGAGAUGGAGAGGUGAGAA